rnacentral:lncRNA from 1 species
GCUCCCAGGAUUACAUGUUACCGACCUUAGUCGGGGAUAGACAGGCCAAACUGGUCCUCCGGACUUGGAGCGCACACCUAGUCCUCGAAGCUUUCCAUCUUGAUUACGAAGUUGUCAGAUAAUCCGGUCUUCAAUGAUGCAGCCCAUAUGGCCGACCCCUUAAUCCGGAACUCCCUCACACAUGGCUCCGUUUGGCGUGAUUCCAACACAAAAAUCCUAUAUAUAUAGAAACCCUCAGAACUAAACAAAGAACUUCCACUCCGCCGCC